rnacentral:lncRNA from 1 species
CAUAUCCAAUUCUUUUGCAAUACUAUUAGCUCGUUUUUCUCGAAGAACAUCUCGACGCUUGCAAGAUGCUACAACAACAUUAAUUAUAUUUGCAACUGUAUUAAAAAAAGUCACAAUCUUUUUAUCACUUCUAGCAGCAGCAACAAUUGUCAACUGUAAUUGAUGUGCAAAACAAUGAACAUAAAAGACAGAUUUUUUAUUUUAAGAAUCAAUGAUUUUAAACCAUUUAUAUUACCAGACAUAUUAUUUGCGCCGUCAUAACCUUGACCUCGUAGAUUGGUGAUACUUAAAUUUUGUUUGCAGAAUAAAGCAUCAAAAGCUUUUUUCAGAGUCAACGCACUAGUUUCUGCCACAUGAACGACUCUUAAAUAACGCUCCAUUACGCAUCCCAUCUUGUCCACAUAUUGAAUAGUCACAAUUAUUUGUUCUUUAAUUGAUAUGUCUCUAGAUUCAUCAAUCAAUACAGCAAAUAAAUCAUGAUUGAGAUCUUUUAGAAUAAGUCUUAUAGUUUCAGUACUUGCAAUAGCCAUCAACUGACUUUGAAUCAUUGGAGAUUUCAUUUGAUUAUUUUUAGGAGUAGUGAUCAUUGCUUGUUUGUAAUUUUCAUCUCUGCUUGCAAAUGCUUCUAACAACUUCAACAAAUUUUCUUUAUUUAAAGAUUCAUUAGAUUCGUUGUGCCCACGAAAAGGUAAUCCUUGAUGUAGAAGAUAACGAAUGGCAUCUAAUGAGGCUGUCAAUCGAAUACGAUAAUUGAUAUCUUCUGCUAUUGGUUGUUUCUCUAAAAUAGGUUCUAAUUGAUGUUUUGCUUUCCUCAUAUUCUUAUACUUUUCCCAUGUCUUAUUGUGAGAGCUAUCAAUAAGUCCAACAUGUUCAAGCAAUUUAUUAGGUUUUUUCCAAUUUUGAAAUCCAACUGUAACAAAAGUAUCUCCGCUUGCCAUAUUUCCUUCAUAUGGUUUAAAAAUGUAACAACAUAAACAAAAAACUGAAUCAUCAGAAAUACUAUACUCCAACCAUGUAGAAUAUGUAUCAAACCAAGAACAGUUAAAUCGACGACUAAAUUUGUCAAACCAAGUUUGCGGAAAUGAAUGCGUUUUUGGUUGACAAGGACCUUUUUGAAUGUACUUCCUUCUUUCUUAAUGUUGGAUCAGAAGGAAGAUUAUCGGAAGCUAAUGGUUUAAGAAUAGAUAAUCGUUUUCUUUUACUUGUUUCCGGAAUAUCUUUUUGCGGUUGUGGAGAAGGAGUUGUCUUUUUAAAAUAUCUCUCCAUCUGUAAUUUAAAAAUUAAGAUUCAUUUUAAAUCUAAGAAUACAAUCUUACAUUUCUAAAUCCAAUUAUAAAAUUAUAUAAGAAAUAAUGCAUAAAAUUAUAAAUCUAUCAAUUCUAAAAAUAAUAAAAAAGUAAUAGGACCUUGGUAUUGAAGAUUUUUUUAAGGUUCCGACAAAUGACAAAUCCCUAACCCAAAACAGAAAAUAAGAAUAAUUUAUAAAUAGAAACAGUUUCCAGUAAAACCCAAUUCCAGUAAGAAUAAUUCAUAAACAGAACCCAAUUCCAGUAAAAUCCAAACAGUUGUAAAGUUUAAAGUUUACUAAUUCCAGUACAAAUAAAAUAUUUAAUUCCUCCAAAAAAAUCAAAGUGAUAAAAUAAAUUAAAUUGGUUUGGGUGGAAUAGUAUUGCACAUGGAAUGAGGUUAUUAAUAUAGGGCGCAUAUUUGGGACGGUACCGAUUUCAGUGAGGUACCUGGUCACGUUCAACCGUCCGCCGCGAUCCUCCACUGCGGAUUCCGGAACCACGAGGUCCGAAAUCCGCGAACUCGCCAUUCCGGAACCGACGAUUCCGGAAAUCGUUGGUUCCGGAACUCACCAUUCUGAAACCGGUUCCGGAAAUCGUCGGUCCGUCCAAAUUGCCAAUUUUUUCCUUUUGGAUCUCUGGUUCGGUAUCGAUGGGGGUGAAAAAUCUGUGGGAAAUACUUGACUUCUGCAAGAAAACCCUUCCCCUCAGUAACCUCGAGUAAUUUCAACCAUCAUCGUGUUUUAUUCACUGAUAAAACCCAUAAACCCAUCAUGACGGUCCGAGGAUCACAGACGUGCCGCAGGAUGCGGGGUGGGUGUCGUCUGUGAUCCUCGGUGUAUUAAUAUAAUAUAUUCAGGAACAUUAUUAUUGUUGGUACAUAAUUGGUACAUUAUUAUUAUUGGUGGUAUAUAGUCAAGCAACCCAAAUACCCAAUUACAUCUCAACAAGUAUCAAUGGCUUGACCAUGAGUGCACGUCCAUUUUCUCUCAAAGAAGGUACAUCUGGACAACUAGUCGACUACGUGUUGGAAAACCAUGCUUCAACUACGUAUAUAAAAGAGAGCGAUCAUGUGAAAGAUAGCAAGAAAGAUUAUACCUCAACAAAUAUUUUCCAAGAACCAAUUGCUCGAGCAUCGCAAAGAUUCAAAAAACUUUAGCCACAGCCUGUUUGAUUUUGGUAUAAACAUUAAACAGGAUCAAACAUUUCUUAUGAUUUUCUUUUCACCCAAAUGAAUUUUCACCCAAAUAAUAUGUAGAAACAAGAUCAACAAAUAAAUACCAGAGAAGGCUGAUGAGAUUUCCAGAUAGGGUUCUCGGAGAAAAUAUUUCCAGCAAAGAAGCAACAGCCGUGAAGAAGAGAUUCCCGGAGAAGAUUAAGGAUGGUCGGGGACGACGGGGAGAAGAUUUAUGAAAAUUGUAAAUGGGUCGCGGGGGUAAGAAGGGGGAGAGGGGAAUAGAAUAUAUUAAAUAUUGUAAAAUUUAUAUAUUAACUCUUAAAAAAUAUUAAUAUAUUGUGAAAAUUGUAUUUAAC